rnacentral:rRNA from 1 species
ACGAUCCGUAACUGGUCUGAGAGGAUGAUCAGUCACACGAGAAUUGAGACACGCUCCAGACUCCUACGGGAGGCAGCAGUGGGGAAUAUUGCACAAUGGGGGAAAGCCUGAUCCACCCACCCCCGCGUGUGUGAAGAAGGUCUUCGGAUUGUAAAGCACUUUAAGUUGGGAGAAAGGGCAUUAACGUAAUACGUUAGUGUUUUGACGUUACCGACAGAAUAAGCACCGGCUAACUGUGUCCCAGCAGCCGGGGUAAUACAGAGGGCGCAAGCGUUAAUGGGAAUUACUGGGCGUAAAGCGCGCGUAGGUGGUUUGUUAAGUUGGAUGUGAAAUCCCCGGUCUUCAACCUGGGAACUGCAUCCAAAACUGGGAAGCUAGAGUAGGGCAGAGGGUGGUGGAAUUUCCUGUGUAGCGGUGAAAUGCGUAGAUAUAGGAAGGAACACCAGUGGGCGAAGGCGUCCACCUGGGCUCGAUACUGACAGUGGAGGUAGCGAAAGCGUGGGGAGCAAACAGGAUUAGAUCCCCUGGUAGUCCACUGCCGUAAACGAUGUCAACUAGCCGUUGGAAUCCUUGAGAUUUUAUUGGCGCAGCUAACGCAUUAAGUUGACCGCCUGGGGAGUACGGCCGCAAGGUUAAAACUCAAAUGAAUUGACGGGGGCCCGCACAAGCGGUGGAGCAUGUGGUUUAAUUCGAAGCAACGCGAAAAACCUUACCAGGCCUUGACAUGCAAAGAACUUUCUAGAGAUAGAUUGGUGCCUUCUGGAACUCUGACACAGGUGCUGCAUGGCUGUCCUCAGCUCCUGUCCUGAGAUGUUGGGUUAAGUCCCGUAACGAGCGCAACCCUUGUCCUUAUUUACCCAGCACGUUAUGGUGGGCACUCUAAGGAGACUGCCGGUGACAAACCGGAGGAAGGUGGGGAUGACGUCAAGUCAUCAUGGCCCUUACGGCCUGGGCUACACACGUGCUACAAUGGUCGGUACAGAGGGUUGCCAAGCCGCGAGGUGGAGCUAAUCUCACAAAACCGAUCGUAGUCCGGAUCGCAGUCUGCAACUCGA